rnacentral:rRNA from 1 species
AGCAGCCGCGGUAAUUCCAGCUCCAAUAGCGUAUAUUAAAGUUGUUGCAGUUAAAAAGCUCGUAGUUGAAUUUCGGGGUUAGUAGGCUGGUCAUGCCUCUGGUAUGUACUGGUCUCACUGAUUCCUCCUUCCUGAUGAACCUUAAUGCCAUUAAUUUGGUGUUUUGGGGAAUUUGGACUGUUACUUUGAAAAAAUUAGAGUGCUUAAAGCAAGCUAACGCUUGAAUACAUUAGCAUGGAAUAAUGAAAUAGGACGUUCGAUCCUAUUUUGUUGGUUUCUAGGAUUGACGUAAUGAUUAAUAGGGAUAGUUGGGGGCAUUAGUAUUCAAUUGUCAGAGGUGAAAUUCUUGGAUUUAUUGAAGACUAACUACUGCGAAAGCAUUUGCCAAGGAUGUUUUCAUUAAUCAAGAACGAAAGUUAGGGGAUCGAAGACGAUCAGAUACCGUCGUAGUCUUAACCAUAAACUAUGCCGACUAGGGAUCGGAUGAUGUUAAUUUUUUAAUGACUCAUUCGGCGCCUUACG